rnacentral:rRNA from 1 species
UACAGAGGGGGCAAGCGUUAUUCGGAAUCAUUGGGCGUAAAGAGCUCGUAGGCGGCCUGUCGCGUCCGCUGUGAAAUCCCGGGGCUUAACCCCGGGCGUGCAGUGGAUACGGGCUGGCUGGAGGCAGGCAGGGGAGAACGGAAUUCCCGGUGUAGCGGUGAAAUGCGCAGAUAUCGGGAGGAACACCGGUGGCGAAGGCGGUUCUCUGGGCCUGUACUGACGCUGAGGAGCGAAAGCGUGGGGAGCGAACAGG